rnacentral:lncRNA from 10 species
CAAAGUUCUCCUAAGCCGCUUCCCCCAGAGCUGUCGCCAUUUCCAAAGCCCAGACUUGGGAACUCAGUACCUGGUUGUGCUGAAUCAGAAGUUCACUGACUGCUUUGUGCUAGUGUUUCUGGACUCCCACUUAGGAAAGACGUCUCUGACAGUGGUUUUCCGAGAGCCCUUCCCAGUACAGCCCCAGGACAGCGAGAGCCCCCCUGCCCAACUGGUCUCCACCUACCACCACCUGGAGUCUGUCAUCAACACAGCCUGUUUCACCCUCUGGACCCGCCUCCUCUGAGGGAGUGGACUGGACCACUGAAUGUCACUGUUCCUUGAAUCAUGGGCCUACCAGAUUGCCUGCCAGAGGCAGGACUGACCAGCCCUUCUGGGCCCCAGGGCAAGCCAGACACUGAGUGACACCAAAGGCUUUGUAACUAUGUCUUGAGGGUCUGCUGCCCCAGCCUGGCAGCAGGAACCGCCCUCCCCAAACACCCACAGCCACUGACCCAUCCAGGACUCCAGAGAGUCAGGUCAACCCCGAGGACCCCUUGGGCCCUUCUGGGGUACUCCUUUCGGCCCCCCUGGUAGAGUCUCGGGAGUUCACACAGGGUGGCAAACACCCCCUAGAGCUCCUCUGCCUGAAUCCUGCCCCCUAGCCUUUGACCACUGUCAGCCACCUGUGUCCCUUGAGCCUUCGGGUCUUCACUUCCCACUUGGACAUCACUGCUGGACAUUCCCAUCGAGAUGACACCUGGGUUCCAAUCCCAGCUCUGCCUUUGAAGCACUUGUGGCCACCGUCAAGUCCCUUUGCUCUCGGACCCUGGGUUUCUCAUCCUUUAAUGAGGUGGGUUCAGAAGCUCUCCCAUCUUCACAGCAACCCUGGCACUGGCUUCUCAAUGGGAGGGAAGCAGCAGAGAAACUGAAGUGUUAGACACUAUGUGUCCCACCACCCCAUUACAGAGACAUAUGACAAUGU